rnacentral:rRNA from 1 species
GCAUAUCAAUAAGCGGAGGAAAAGAAACCAACAGGGAUUGCCCUAGUAACGGCGAGUGAAGCGGCAACAGCUCAAAUUUGAAAUCUGGCCUCCGGGUCCGAAUUGUAAUUUGUAGAGGAUGCUUUUGGUGAGGUGCCUUCCGAGUUCCCUGGAACGGGACGCCAUAGAGGGUGAGAGCCCCGUCUGGUUGGACACCGAUCCUCUGUAAAGCUCCUUCGACGAGUCGAGUAGUUUGGGAAUGCUGCUCUAAAUGGGAGGUAUAUGUCUUCUAAAGCUAAAUAUUGGCCAGAGACCGAUAGCGCACAAGUAGAGUGAUCGAAAGAUGAAAAGCACUUUGAAAAGAGAGUUAAAAAGUACGUGAAAUUGUUGAAAGGGAAGCGCUCAUGACCAGACUUGGGCUUGGUUGAUCAUCCAGGGUUCUCCCUGGUGCACUCUUCCAGUUCAGGCCAGCAUCAGUUCGCUGUGGGGGAUAAAGGCUUCGGGAAUGUGGCUCCUUCGGGAGUGUUAUAGCCCGUUGUGUAAUACCCUGUGGUGGACUGAGGUUCGCGCAUUCGCAAGGAUGCUGGCGUAAUGGUCAUCAGCGACCCGUCUUGAAACACGGACCAAGGAGUCGUCUUCGUAUGCGAGUGUUCGGGUGUUAAACCCCUACGCGUAAUGAAAGUGAACGCAGGUGAGAGCUUCGGCGCAUCAUCGACCGAUCCUGAUGUUCUCGGAUGGAUUUGAGUAAGAGCAUACGGGGCCGGACCCGAAAGAAGGUGAACUAUGCCUGUAUAGGGUGAAGCCAGAGGAAACUCUGGUGGAGGCUCGCAGCGGUUCUGACGUGCAAAUCGAUCGUCAAAUAUGGGCAUGGGGGCGAAAGACUAAUCGAACCUUCUAGUAGCUGGUUUCCGCCGAA